rnacentral:rRNA from 1 species
UGGAAUCGCUAGUAAUCGCGGAUCAGAAUGCCGCGGUGAAUACGUUCCCGGGUCUUGUACACACCGCCCGCCACACCAUGGGAGUCGGAAAUGCCCGAAGUCUGUGACCUAACCGAGAGGGAGGAGCAGCCGAAGGCAGGUCUGAUGACUGGGGUGAAGUCGUAACAAGGUACC